rnacentral:tRNA from 94 species
GCCCUGGUGGUGAAAUUGGUAGACACAAGGGAUUUAAAAUCCCUCGACUUUCGAGUCGUGCCGGUUCAAGUCCGGCCCGGGGCACCA